rnacentral:rRNA from 1 species
CGAUGAACCACUUCGGUGGGGAUUAGUGGCGAACGGGUGAGUAACACGUGGGCAAUCUGCCCUGCACUCUGGGACAAGCCCUGGAAACGGGGUCUAAUACCGGAUACUGAUCCUCGCAGGCAUCUGCGAGGUUCGAAAGCUCCGGCGGUGCAGGAUGAGCCCGCGGCCUAUCAGCUUGUUGGUGAGGUAACGGCUCACCAAGGCGACGACGGGUAGCCGGCCUGAGAGGGCGACCGGCCACACUGGGACUGAGACACGGCCCAGACUCCUACGGGAGGCAGCAGUGGGGAAUAUUGCACAAUGGGCGAAAGCCUGAUGCAGCGACGCCGCGUGAGGGAUGACGGCCUUCGGGUUGUAAACCUCUUUCAGCAGGGAAGAAGCGAAAGUGACGGUACCUGCAGAAGAAGCGCCGGCUAACUACGUGCCAGCAGCCGCGGUAAUACGUAGGGCGCAAGCGUUGUCCGGAAUUAUUGGGCGUAAAGAGCUCGUAGGCGGCUUGUCACGUCGGUUGUGAAAGCCCGGGGCUUAACCCCGGGUCUGCAGUCGAUACGGGCAGGCUAGAGUUCGGUAGGGGAGAUCGGAAUUCCUGGUGUAGCGGUGAAAUGCGCAGAUAUCAGGAGGAACACCGGUGGCGAAGGCGGAUCUCUGGGCCGAUACUGACGCUGAGGAGCGAAAGCGUGGGAGCGAACAGGAUUAGAUACCCUGGUAGUCCACGCCGUAAACGGUGGGCACUAGGUGUGGGCAACAUUCCACGUUGUCCGUGCCGCAGCUAACGCAUUAAGUGCCCCGCCUGGGGAGUAC